UACGUAGGGUGCGAGCGUUGUCCGGAAUUAUUGGGCGUAAAGAGCUCGUAGGCGGUUUGUCGCGUCGACUGUGAAAACCUACAGCUUAACUGUGGGCUUGGAGUCGAUACGGGCAGACUUGAGUUCGGUAGGGGAGACUGGAAUUCCUGGUGUAGCGGUGAAAUGCGCAGAUAUCAGGAGGAACACCGGUGGCGAAGGCGGGUCUCUGGGCCGAUACUGACGCUGAGGAGCGAAAGCGUGGGGAGCGAACAGG
rnacentral:rRNA from 1 species